UACGUAGGGGGCAAGCGUUGUCCGGAUUUAUUGGGCGUAAAGCGCACGCAGGCGGUCUCUUAAGUUUCGAGUGACAGGUCAGGGCUUAACCCUGGCAGGCCUUGGAAAACUGGGGGACUUGAGGGCUUCAGAGGGACGCGGAAUUCCAGGUGGAGCGGUGAAAUGCGUAGAUAUCGUAAGGAAGACCAGUGGCGAAGGCGGGUCUCUGGACAGUUCCUGACGCUGAGGCACGAAGGUCAGGGGAGCAAACGGG
rnacentral:rRNA from 1 species